CCUACGGGGGGCAGCAGUGGGGGAUAUUGGACAAUGGGGGGAACCCUGAUCCAGCGACGCCGCGUGAGUGAAGAAGUAUUUCGGUAUGUAAAGCUCUGUCAGCAGGGAAGAAAGAAAUGACGGUACCUGACCAAGAAGCCCCGGCUAACUACGUGCCAGCAGCCGCGGUAAUACGUAGGGGGCAAGCGUUAUCCGGAAUUACUGGGUGUAAAGGGAGCGUAGACGGUUAAGUAAGUCUGGAGUGAAAGGCCGGGGCCCAACCCCGGGACUGCUCUGGAAACUAUUGAACUUGAGUGCAGGGGAGGUAAGCGGAAUUCCUAGGGUAGCGGUGAAAUGCGUAGAUAUUAGGAGGAAAACCAGUGGCGAAGGCGGCUUACUGGACUGUAACUGACGUUGAGGCUCGAAAGCGUGGGGAGCAAACAGGAUUAGAUACCCGAGUAGUC
rnacentral:rRNA from 1 species